rnacentral:rRNA from 1 species
AUGUCGGGGCGUCAGUUCACUUGGGCGAACAACCGAUCUGUGCCGACAUAUGAGAAGCUCGAUAGGGUACUAAUGGAUACCGAAUGGGAACUAAAAUUCCCUCUGGUAACCGUGCGAGCCCUAGAGCGUAUCGAGGCCUUAUCGGAUCAUGCACCCAUCAUUCUGGAUUCUAACUCUACGAACCCAGCCACCCGACGCCCUUUCAAAUUUGAAUUGGGAUGGCUGAAUAGGGACGGAUUCGUAGACAUGAUCAAGAAUGUUUGGGAGAGGCCCGCUGUUGGUCGUACACCUAUUCAACGAUGGAUCUUUAAAAUAAGAGCCAUGAGGCGACACCUCUCUGGAUGGGCAAAACACACCAACGGAAUAUAUAAAAAAGAAAAACAAAGGCUCUGUACCAUCAUUGAUGACCUCGACAAAAUUGCAGAGACGCGCACAUUGUCUCAGCAAGAGAUUGAAUUGAAAAAUCAAUCUAAUGAGAUGGUUGCCCGUCUAUUGCGAGAAGAGGAGAUCAAAUACUACCAGAGAUCCAAAGCUGAUUUCAUUUUAAUGGGUGAUAGUAAUACAAGAUACUUCCAAUUGAUCGCCAAUGGGCGGCAUAGGAAGAAAUGUAUUUACAGUCUCCAACAAGAUGAGGGGAGGAUCGAAGGUCAGGAGGAGCUCAAAAAGUAUAUCACCAAAUACUACAAAUCUCUUUUCGGAGCGCCGACUGAAGGGAAUUUCACCCUUGAUGAAACCCGAAUAGAUGAUAUUCCACAUGUCACAGCAGAUGAAAACGAUAUCCUAACGGCACCAUUCUCAGAAGAGGAGGUACGAGCUGCGGUGUUCCAAAUGGAACAUAACAAAGCUCCAGGCCCUGAUGGCUUCCCCACAGAAUUCUAUCAGAAUUUCUGGGAUAUCAUCAAGUCCGACCUUUUGGAGUUGUUCAAUUGUUUUCAUGCCGACCAACUUGACCUAUUCAGACUUAAUUUUGGCGAGAUUGUCUUGUUGCCGAAGAUUAAGGAGGCCGAACGGAUUCAACAGUUCAGACCCAUAUGCCUCCUUAAUGUCAGCUUCAAGAUUUUCACCAAAGUGAACAUGAGUGGAGUAGUAUUCAAAAUAGACUUUGAAAAAGCCUAUGACAAGGUCAAAUGGUCUUUCCUCCAACAGGCCCUAAGGAUGAAAGGCUUCUCCGAUAAAUGGUGCAAGUGGAUCCACAAUUUUGUAACUGGAGGUAGUGUGGCCAUCAAAGUCAAUGAUGAUGUCGGCCAUUAUUUUCAGACAAAAAAAGGACUACGACAGGGUGAUGCCAUAUCCCCAAUGUUAUUUAACAUUGUGGCUGACAUGUUGGCUAUUCUGAUUGAGCGCGCCAAGCAGGACGGGCAAAUUACAGGAGUAGUGCCA